rnacentral:rRNA from 1 species
UGGUAACNGGGAGGAAGGGGGGGAUGAUGUCAGGUCAGUAUNACCCUNACAUGNGGGGUACAAACACGNUACAAUGGCCGGUACAAAGGGCAGCCAAAGCGCAAGCUGGAGCAAAUCCCAUCAAAGCCGGUCUCAGUUCGGAUAGCAGGCUGAAANUCGCCUGCUUGAAGCUGGAAUCGCUAGUAACGGUAGGUCAGCUAUACUACCGUGAAUACGUUUCCCGGGUCUUGUACACACCGCCCGUCAAACCAUGAAAGUCGCCAA